rfam:Aequorivita sublithincola DSM 14238, complete genome.
AUCGCGGUAACCGAAAAGCGUAUAGAGUAGGUG